UUCAUGACUGUGCGGAUAGCCAGGGAGUAGGAAUCAAAUGCAUGACUAAGGACCACCAUGUGUUAACUGGAAUCCUGGUGUAUGAGCGAAUGAACCCUGUGAGGGCACUGUAAAACAGGAACAGAGUGCCUUGUACUGGAUGGAUCGGCAGUUAAUUCCAGGGUCAGUCAGAAGCCGGCCAUUCAAGAAGGGGGCGGAGUCACAGUACCAGAAGUCAUCACCCUAGUACGAUGGCUAACAAACAGGAACUGUCGCUGUUCCAGCCAGCAUUAAACCUGGAUUCCAAAUACUGCACUAGUCCC